rnacentral:rRNA from 1 species
UACGUAGGGGGCAAGCGUUAAUCGGAAUUACUGGGCGUAAAGCGUGCGCAGGCGGCUUUGCAAGUCAGAUGUGAAAUCCCCGGGCUUAACCUGGGAACUGCAUUUGUGACUGCAUGGCUGGAGUGCGGCAGAGGGGGGUGGAAUUCCGCGUGUAGCAGUGAAAUGCGUAGAUAUGCGGAGGAACACCGAUGGCGAAGGCAAUCCCCUGGGCCUGCACUGACGCUCAUGCACGAAAGCGUGGGGAGCAAACAGG